rnacentral:rRNA from 1 species
UACGUAGGUGGCAAGCGUUAUCCGGAUUUAUUGGGCGUAAAGCGUGCGUAGGCGGUAAAAUAAGUCUGAUGUGAAAGCCCCCGGCUCAACCGGGGAGGGUCAUUGGAAACUGUUUUACUUGAGUACAGAAGAGGAGAGUGGAAUUCCAUGUGUAGCGGUGAAAUGCGCAGAGAUAUGGAGGAACACCAGUGGCGAAGGCGGCUCUCUGGUCUGUUACUGACGCUGAGGUGCGAAAGCGUGGGGAGCAAACAGG